rnacentral:rRNA from 1 species
UACGGAGGGGGCUAGCGUUAUUCGGAAUUAUUGGGCGUAAAGGGCGCGUAGGCGGCUAUUCAAGUGGCGGGUGAAAUCCCUCGGCUUAACCGAGGAACUGCCUGCCAGACUGGAUGGCUUGAGACCGGGAGAGGUGAGUGGAAUUCCCAGUGUAGCGGUGAAAUGCGUAGAUAUUGGGAGGAACACCAGUGGCGAAGGCGGCUCACUGGACCGGUACUGACGCUGAGGCGCGAAAGCGUGGGGAGCAAACAGG